AGGACGAACGCUGGCGGCGUGCUUAACACAUGCAAGUCGAGCGGUAAGGCCUUUCGGGGUACACGAGCGGCGAACGGGUGAGUAACACGUGGGUGAUCUGCCCUGCACUCUGGGAUAAGCCUGGGAAACUGGGUCUAAUACCGGAUAUGACCUCAGGUUGCAUGACUUGGGGUGGAAAGAUUUAUCGGUGCGAGGAGUGGGGCCCCGCGGACCUAUCGAGUCGUUUGGUUGGGUAGGGGUAAGUCGGACCUAACCGAAGGGCGAACGGACGGGUAGCCGACCGUGAGAGGGUCGACCGGCCACACGUCGGGACUGGAGACCACGGCCCAGACUCCGUACGGGAGGCAGCAGGUGGGAAU
rnacentral:rRNA from 1 species